rnacentral:rRNA from 2 species
UGGAUCCAGACUUUGAUCAUGGCUCAGGAUGAACGCUAGCUACAGGCUUAACACAUGCAAGUCGAGGGGCAGCAUGACGAUAGCUUGCUAUCGUUGAUGGCGACCGGCGCACGGGUGAGUAACGCGUAUCCAACCUGCCCUUGUCCAUCGGAUAACCCGUCGAAAGGCGGCCUAACACGAUAUGCAGUUCUCCGCAGGCAUCUAACGAGAACGAAAUGUGAAGGAGAAGGAUGGGGAUGCGUCUGAUUAGCUUGUUGGCGGGGUAACGGCCCACCAAGGCGACGAUCAGUAGGGGUUCUGAGAGGAAGGUCCCCCACAUUGGAACUGAGACACGGUCCAAACUCCUACGGGAGGCAGCAGUGAGGAAUAUUGGUCGAUGGGCGAGAGCCUGAACCAGCCAAGUAGCGUGCAGGAAGACGGCCCUAUGGGUUGUAAACUGCUUUUAUGCGGGGAUAAAGUGAGCCACGUGUGGCUUAUUGCAGGUACCGCAUGAAUAAGGACCGGCUAAUUCCGUGCCAGCAGCCGCGGUAAUACGGAAGGUCCGGGCGUUAUCCGGAUUUAUUGGGUUUAAAGGGAGCGUAGGCCGUCUGGUAAGCGUGUUGUGAAAUGUCGGGGCUCAACCUGGGCAUUGCAGCGCGAACUGUCAGACUUGAGUGCGCGGGAAGUAGGCGGAAUUCGUCGUGUAGCGGUGAAAUGCUUAGAUAUGACGAAGAACUCCGAUUGCGAAGGCAGCCUGCUGUAGCGCAACUGACGCUGAAGCUCGAAAGCGUGGGUAUCGAACAGGAUUAGAUACCCUGGUAGUCCACGCGGUAAACGAUGGAUGCUCGCUGUUUGCGUCUGACGUAAGCGGCCAAGCGAAAGCGUUAAGCAUCCCACCUGGGGAGUACGCCGGCAACGGUGCAACUCAAAUGAAUUGACGGA